CAACUCGGUGGCCGUGAGCGUGAGGUCCGGUCCCCGUUCGAGUCUACCCGUCCUAGUGACGUUACUUAAAUCUGGACGUUCUAGUGUCGCACAGGCGAUUGUGAUUUCCCCGUCCUAGUGUCGUCCCUAAAAUUUUGACGUUCUAGUGUCGCAGAGAUAAUUGUAGUUUUCCCGUCCUAGUUACGUUACUUAAAUCUGGACGUUCUAGUGUCGCAGAGACAAUUGUAGUUUUCCCGUCCUAGUGUCGCCGCUAAAUUAUGGACGGUCUAGUGACGCAUGAUGAGACGUUCUAGUGUCGUUAUGAUUUUUAGAAAUUUCCCGGCCCAGUGUCGUUACUAAAAUUUAGACGUUCUAGUGAAAUGUAGACGUUCUAGUGUCGCGUUCUAGUGUCGCUUUGGAAAAGUUCUUGUAGUAAUCCGUCCCAAUGUCGCUAUGCCAGUAUAUAAAAGCUCUCAGUCGCCAUCUAUGAUCAGUUUCAUUGACAACGUCAUUCGUCAUUCUAUUUUAAAGUUAUCGUGUGGUCCUGUGGGGCAUCAGAUUUUACAGUCAUCAUACUAGUCCAUCGGCUUGUCUCUUGAGGCAGGCUAGCUUAUCGCCCGAACCAGAAGAUGGUGACAAGGAUGUCGAUGUUGAUCUCUAUCAAGCCGCUGUUCUGAUUUUGGCUCAUUUGGAUCGAUUAGCAUCUCCAUUUAUUCAAACAUUCAAAUCGGAUCGCGUAGUUAUGGAAAAUACUUUAAUUCGAUUGGAUUUGAGCGCCGCUACGGUGGACCCGGGUGGACCAUUUCACAGUAGUCCAGAAACUUCCAAUAACGAUAGAUCAAGUUGUCUGCACAGCCCUUGGUCUCCUGUUUCUUUCCGGCGAUGGCAAAGUGUACACAAUCAGCUAUAACGAUCAAGAACCGGGGAAAUCCAAAUCUGGGUGCCGUACAAGAUACAGCUCAAGCUUUUCUCCAAUUGGCUUCAUAAAUAUUGAAAGAGCCUUCUUUUGCCUACUGCUUCAGAAAGAGCUUCAGCAUUGCCCACACUUUUGCAAAGAGACGACGAAUAUGAUAGUUGUGGUGGACGUUUCAUGGCCGAUUUAUUGGUGAUUUCCAUGAUGGCGGACGGAGGGUUACAAGCAGCUUUCGAAGCUUCGUUGCUAGCUGAAGCAAAUGAUCUUGAGAUAAACGGCCGAUGCAAUAACGACGCGGUAUUGAGAAUAGGGGAUGGCGCAAAAAAAUAAAAAAAAAUAAUAAAACAUACUAAAAAUAAGAGAAAAAAAAAAUAAAAAAUAUCUCCCAAUCAUACUAUAGCUGGGAAAAAUUUACUUUACGAGUUAUUCACGUUGAAAGUUUCGACUCCGUGGCCCACCUCUAAAACGCAGGAGGUGGCCUAUUUAUCACGUGAUUCUUGGUGCAUUACCGCUGGUCAGUUUUAACCAAUGAGAAUAGAUCACGUGAUCGGGGGAACCAAUAGAA
rnacentral:lncRNA from 1 species